GAUGAACGCUGGCGGCGUGCCUAACACAUGCAAGUCGAGCGAUUCUCUUCGGAGAAGAGCGGCGGACGGGUGAGUAACGCGUGGGUAACCUGCCCUGUACACACGGAUAACAUACCGAAAGGUAUGCUAAUACGGGAUAAUAUGCUUUAGUCGCAUGGCUGAAGUAUCAAAGCUCCGGCGGUACAGGAUGGACCCGCGUCUGAUUAGCUAGUUGGUAAGGUAAAGGCUUACCAAGGCGACGAUCAGUAGCCGACCUGAGAGGGUGAUCGGCCACAUUGGAACUGAGACACGGUCCAAACUCCUACGGGAGGCAGCAGUGGGGAAUAUUGCACAAUGGGCGAAAGCCUGAUGCAGCAACGCCGCGUGAGCGAUGAAGGCCUUCGGGUCGUAAAGCUCUGUCCUCAAGGAAGAUAAUGACGGUACUUGAGGAGGAAGCCCCGGCUAACUACGUGCCAGCCGCCGCGGUAA
rnacentral:rRNA from 1 species